rnacentral:lncRNA from 1 species
UGUAACUAGAAUAAACCUUCUACUGCAUUAUCUUAAUAGUCCUAAAUUAAGUACAAUGAUGAAAACUCCACUAUCCAAACUAGAAAUUAACUAAAAGAUACAGUGAAUCUGGCUAUUAAAACACCAUAUAAUGAAGAAAUACAACUGAAUUCAUAAACAAAUUUGAGGCCAUGCUUCAAACUCUAUUUUUUCAUUUCUCAUACUUCAAGUCUAACUUCACAUUCAGUGGGGUCCAAGAAUAUGUACCUUAAUACAGCAAAAUAACAAAGGAAAUAAGCUUGGAGCCUAAGAGAGAAUAGCAGCAGUAGUUCAGCUAAGAGGAAGCAACAGCAGCAAAGUAUCAGCAACUAAAACAACCACACAAUCAGCAAUUACUCAGCCUUUGACCCAGCUUCAAACCCAGAAUCAAUACCACUUUCAGAGCUUUUGAAAAAUCUGACUAACAGGGAACUUAGGAACCAAACAAUUCCAGGCAAAUUUCAGUAUUUUAGAGUCUAGAAAAAGCUCAGUUGUUCCUAAAGUUUUUCAGUAUUUUUCAGUCUCUAAAAUCUCUAAAAUAUGACUUGUGAAUGAAGCAAUUAGCGUUUUAUAAGGGAGUUUUAGGGCAGCAGAAAUGUGUUUUAGUUUUGCCCUUUAAUCCUUUUUAAAUUUUCAGUUUUGCUCCUAUGUCCUUAGUCUUAAAAUCUGUUUUGAAAAACAGCCCCAAACCCACCUUCCUAGAAGCUUCCCCAGUCAGUUAUACAAUAUUCCCUCGGCCAAUUUCCCUAAACUACCCUUUAGACUUCUUUUAUUUACCUUCAGAAGAUCACAUGUCAAAUUACCCCAAGACCCAUCCCAAACUCAUGGGUCUGUAUACUAACAACCCAAACUUACAAUAUCAAAAUGAAUAAGGAAGAAAGAAAUCUGAUUCAUCAAGCCUUUAAUAAAAUUAAUCGACUAAACCUAAAUAAUUUCGGCUAAAACAAAACUCAAACAGAAACAAUCACAAUAAGAUAUUAAUCCAUAUCCUGCAAUUGAACAGUUACAACUACUGAUUUAAUCAAACUAAAAUUAAUUCAAGCACACAAAAAUACAAGAAUUAGAGAAAGAGAAAAAAACAAGAAACGGACACGAAGAACGGAAGAGAAGAAGGAAUGGUACUGGUCUUAGCCAGAAUAAAUUGACUAAGGUGACGAGCUUGGCCGAGCAUUCGUGGUCUAGUCAAGAGCUGGUGACUCUCGAAAUGAGCCAAAAUUAUCUUUAAUCGAUUAUUCUUAACGAGAACAAUUGCUUAACAGAGGUCCUGAGUCAGAUCGAGUCUUGGGAGCAUAGGAAUCAGAAAAUUAUUUUUCUUUUAAUUUUCAUAUUCAAAAUUGAGGAGAAAAGGUGGGGCUUUCAGGGAAAUUGACUAUGGCUUAAUGUUUGAGGGAGUAUAGGGAGUGGAUGGUGAAAUUUUGGUGUGAUUUGGAGCUUCAACACCACCGGUGGCGAAAUCCGGCGGGUGGCAGGUGGUGGUGAGAGAUGAGAGGUCUGAGAGAUGAAGAAG